UCUGGGCGCUGUGGUGUACUCCUGUAAUCCCAGCUGCUUGGGAGGCUGAGGCAGGAGGAUCUUGAGUUCAAAGCCAGCCUCAGCAAUUUAGUGCAACCCUAAGCAACUUAGUUAGACCCUGUCUCUA
rnacentral:sRNA from 1 species